rnacentral:lncRNA from 1 species
CCCAAUGCUGCCCCAAAGCCAGAGAAGAAAGAUGGGGUGUCCUUCUGUGCUGAACAUGUCCGUAGGAAUGCCCUGGCACUUCAUGCUCAAAUGAAGAAGACCAACCCAGGGCCUGUGGGUGAAACACUCCUGUGCCAGCUGAGCUCAUAUGCUAAGACAGAGCUGGGGUCUCAGACUCCAGAAAGUAGUCGCAGUGAAGCCAGCCGAAUACUAGGUUUGGGUUGAUAAAAGUAAUCUAGUUUUGUGUGGUGGAGUUACAGAGGUGGGAAGUCUUAAUGGCUGCUCUCCCUUCCUUGCCUCAGAUGAAGACAGCUGGAGUGAUGGGGAGCAGGAACCCAUUACUGUGGAUCAGACAUGGAGAGGUGACCCUGACAGUGAAGCUGAUAGCAUAGACAGUGAUCAAGAAGAUCCCCUAAAACAUGCUGGUGUCUACACAGCAGAAGAAGUGGCCCUGAUUAUGCGUGAAAAGCUAAUUCGUUUGCAGUCGUUGUAUAUUGAUCAGUUUAAACGACUUCAGCAUCUGCUCAAGGAGAAGAAGCGCCGAUACUUACAUAAUCGCAAAGUGGAACAUGAAGCUCUAG